rnacentral:sRNA from 1 species
UAAACAGGUUAAUUCUAGUUUAUUAAGUUUUGUUAACGUUUGUAAUAACAGAGAAGAAGUUAAAAGAGAAUUAUGGAAAGAACGAAACGGCAGAAUCUAUAACAACACUCAUCGAAACGGUCGAAGUUAUAACAACACUCGUCAAAACGGUUUAACUUUCUUGUUUUUGGCGAAAAAAACAAUAUGUUUAGUAUUUUUAACUUGUUCUAAUCAUGUGUAGCUAGUUAAACAAUGUGUAAUCCAUGCGACUUCUCAGUUUAACGUUAACUCGUAAUUUGAAAUCUCGGUCAAAAGAAACAAAAAAUUGAAAAAUCCGCACAAGUUCCAUCAUCAACUAUGUAUAAUAGAUACAUUUUGAAUUUGUGAAAAAAAAUCAUAAACUUUUUUUGGAGAAAACGAAACCGUAAAGUCUAUAAUAACACUUAGGAAACGGCUGAAUACAUAAAACACCAAAAAAAAA